rnacentral:rRNA from 1 species
CGCGUAGGCGGUUUGUUAAGUCGGAUGUGAAAGCCCCGGGCUCAACCUGGGAAUUGCAUUCGAUACUGGCCGACUAGAGUACGAGAGAGGGAGGUAAAAUUCCACGUGUAGCGGUGAAAUGCGUAGAUAUGUGGAGGAAUACCGGUGGCGAAGGCGGCCUCCUGGCUCGAUACUGACGCUGAGGUGCGAAAGCGUGGGUAGCAAACA